UUCGUAGGCGGAAAGAUAAGUCAGUGGUGAAAGCCUGUGGCUCAACCAUAGAAUUGCCAUUGAUACUGUCUUUCUUGAGUACACAUGAAGUGGGCGGAAUGUGUCGUGUAGCGGUGAAAUGCUUAGAUAUGACACAGAACACCGAUUGCGAAGGCAGCUCACUAAAGUGUAACUGACGCUGAGGAACGAAAGCGUGGGGAGCGAACAGGAUUAGAUACCCUGGUAGUC
rnacentral:rRNA from 1 species